GACGAACGCUGGCGGCGUGCUUAACACAUGCAAGUCACACGGACAGGCCCUGCUUUUGUGGGGUGCUCGAGUGGCGAACGGGUGAGUAACACGCGAGUAACCUGCCCUUGACUUUGGGAUAACUUCAGCUAACUGGGGCCACUCCCGGAUAGGAGCCCCUGCUGCCUGGUGCGGGAUGGAAAGUUUCGGCGGGUGGGGAUGGACUCGCGGCUUAUCAGCUUGUUGGUGGGGUAGUGGCCUACCAAGGCUUUGACGGGUAGCCGGCCUGAUAGGGUGACCGGCGACAUGGGGACUGAGAUACGGGCCAGAGUCCUACGGGAGGCAGCAGUGGGGAAGAUUGCACAAUGGGCGGAAGCCUGAUGCAGCAACGCCGCGUGCGGGAGGACGGCCUUCGGGUUGUAAACCGCUUGCGCCUGUGACGAAGCGUGAGUGACGGUAAUGGGUAAAGAAGCACCGGCUAACUACGUG
rnacentral:rRNA from 1 species